GUUCCUUUAGGCUACGCACAUUUGACUUUAAUCAUCUGGAUAGAAAGACCUGGCCAAGCUAAGUAGGACAAAGCUGAUCCUAUCGCACAAGGAACUCUAUCCCGCAUUUCCUCUAUUGACUCGGAGGUUCAGCUUACCUGCUUCCUUGAAGACACAGUGCUGUUGAAACAUCUAUUGGAGGGUCUGAAGGAAUGGGAUUUAAGAAGAGGAUUCUAGCUAUGAAUCCAUAGAGGACAGUGGCCAGGAUCAUUGGCACAACAUAAAACACACCAAAGUCCAUCAAAUAAAUAGUGACCUCUUAAAACAUCUUCUGCUCCGUGCCCACUUCGAUCACAGCGGAUCUACUCUCUGUGGAAGAUUGUGCACAUACUCAUUCACAGUGUCACCAUUCCCGAUCAAGUCACCAGCACAGACCAGACAGCCGCAGCAGCAGCAGGAGCAGCAGGAGCAGCAGGAGCAGCAGCAGCAGCAGCAGCAACAGUAGGAGCAGCAGCAGCAGGAGCAGGAGCAGCAAGAGCAGCAACGAGGCUGUCAAAUCAUAGAUCUUCCCCUAAGGAGAGCACACACGCGCGCUCUCUCCCCACACAGACAC